rnacentral:misc_RNA from 1 species
GCCAAGUAUCAUGAAUGGCUCUUUGCCUAAUAUUAUGGAAGAUCCGGUGCCUUUGUAUAACCCUCGUGAAGUUGGCUUGUGAAGCCAUGUAUGCCGCAGCAGUCGGAAGCUAGAAAUUAAAAAAAAAAAAGGAUUGCUAUACUAUUCUUGUUGCAGAUACUUCAGCAGCUAAGAAGUGCUCGGCCUUCCAGAGCUGAUUAGCAGAUAAAACACACCAGCGCCCCAUUCUUAUGUUACAAGUUUGCAAAUCAGCAUCUGACUAAUCUUGCAGCCGCAAAUUAAACAUGAAGCUCAUUGAACAUGUCACUACUACUAUUACAUACACCAUUUGCACUUUCAUCUCCUUUGAAAUCCAUUACACCAGUUCCGAAGUUUUCAGUGACUCUCACCUUACCGCGAGCACGUCGUGAAGGCCUCGACAUUGAGUUGUCCAGUGAAAAAUCAUCCCGACUCCUCCGAUUCUGCUUUAUGCUCAAAAAUCCACAAGCAAGAGCUUCCAGUGCUUUAGUGGUCAGUGGUCGGUUUCAAGACAGCAUGAUAAAGAGAAUUGAAGCCAGGUGGUUGCUCAGAAGUAGAACCACAUACUGAAGCGGAAGUUUUCAGCAUACCGAAAUCCUGUGUCUGUCCAGUCUCUCUUUAUCAUGCUGUCUUUCUAUCAUUUCCAUCAUUAACGCUUCAGUCUCAGCAUCUUCAGGGAUGGGUAUGUUCAGGUCAAUCAAUGUCCGAGACUGAGAUUUCUCAUUAGGAUGUUCAGCAACAGAUAAGUUGCUACUCAGAUUGCAUUCAUCUGUAAUAUUAGGGCUGCCCCUGGAUGAAGAACUGGUGGAUGACAACUUUGCCUGAUGUGAAUCCAGAUAAGAAAGAGUAUUCUCUUGCAAAUCAUGAUUUCCUGAUGUAAAACCAACUUCAUCUUGUUCUAACCUGGGAUCUACUGAGACAUUGACAGUACAACAGCUUGUCACUGCGUGAUCACACACAGUUAAUCUUCGCCGUCUUUUUGCAACAGGGCCUAAAAGAUUCCUAUUGGCAGGUUUCGUUCUCUUUAUUGCUUGACCUUUGAUAUGCUUACUUGGAUGCAUAUCAUCAUACUUGCUAGCAUUCUGAUCCUUUGGGAUUUUGACCGGAACCUGGGUGAAACCUGAGCCAAUUACAGGGGAACAUUGCCUCAAAGCAAUAUUUUCAAAAUUUUCCCUGCCAGACGAGUCUCCCACGUCAACAUUGACCUUUGUGGAUUUUGAAAUAUCAGUCUUGCUGUGAUCAAAACACAAGUUAUCAGAAGAAUCAGAUUCAUUUAUUGAAUCCUCAGUAGAAUCUUCAUCACUUUCUUCAGAAUCACUUCUGGUGGUGGAAAUGUUCAUCAUUUCAACUGGUAAGCUUCUCAGUUCUCUCACCGUGGAUGUUUCCCCAUUAGCCAGACUAGUAUCAACAACAGUAAACUUCAUGACUUCUGCCCUGUGGCUAG